UACGGGGGGAGCAAGCGUUGUUCGGAUUUACUGGGCGUAAAGGGCGCGUAGGCGGCGUGACAAGUCACUUGUGAAAUCUCCGGGCUUAACUCGGAACGGUCAAGUGAUACUGUCGUGCUAGAGUACAGAAGGGGCAACUGGAAUUCUCGGUGUAGCGGUGAAAUGCGCAGAUAUCGGGAGGAACACCAAUUGCGAAGGCAGCUCGCUGGGACGUCACUGACGCUGAGACGCGAAAGCGUGGGGAGCAAACAGG
rnacentral:rRNA from 1 species